GAUGAACGCUGACGGAAUGCUUAACACAUCAGCAAUUGAUUGGUGGCGGACGGGUGAGUAACGCGUAAAGAAAUUCCCCCACAGUUAGGGACAACAUUUGGAAACGAAUGCUAAUACCCAAUACUGUGAGAGGGCGUUGCGUCCCAUUAGCUAGUUGGAGAGGUAACGGCUCACCAAGGAGAUGAUGGGUAGCCGGCCUGGGAGGGUGAUCGGCCCCAAGGGGACUGGGACACGGCCCUUACUCAUACUGGAGGCAGGAGUGGAGAAUAUUGGACAAUGGACCAAAGUCUGAUCCAGCAAUUCGGUUUGCACGAUGAAGUUUUCGGAAUGUAAGGUGCUUUCAGUUGAGAAGCGGUACCAACAGAAGAAGUGACGGCUAAAUACGUGCCAGCAGCCGCGGUAAUUC
rnacentral:rRNA from 1 species